rnacentral:rRNA from 1 species
GUGGGGAAUAUUGGGCAAUGGGGGCAACCCUGACCCAGCAACGCCGCGUGAGGGAAGAAGGUUUUCGGAUUGUAAACCUCUGUCCUUGGGGACGAAGAAGUGACGGUACCCAAGGAGGAAGCUCCGGCUAACUACGUGCCAGCAGCCGCGGUAAUACGUAGGGAGCGAGCGUUGUCCGGAAUUACUGGGCGUAAAGGGUGCGUAGGCGGUUUGGUAAGUCAGAUGUGAAAUACCCGGGCUUAACCCGGGGGCUGCAUCUGAUACUGUCAGACUUGAGUGCAGGAGAGGAAAGCGGAAUUCCUAGUGUAGCGGUGAAAUGCGUAGAUAUUAGGAGGAACACCAGUGGCGAAGGCGGCUUUCUGGACUGUAACUGACGCUGAGGCACGAAAGCGUGGGGAGCAAACAGGAUUAGAAACCCGAGUAGUCC